AGCCAGCAGCCGCGGUAAUACGGAGGGGGCGAGCGUUGUUCGGAUUUACUGGGCGUAAAGGGUGUGUAGGCGGCUGCGCAAGUCUGGUGUGAAAUCUUCACCGCUUAACGGGAAGCGUGCACUGGAAACUGCGCAGCUCGAGUAUGGUAGAGGCAAGCGGAAUUCCUGGUGUAGCGGUGGAAUGUGUAGAUAUCAGGAAGAACACCGGUGGCGAAGGCGGCUUGCUGGGCCAUCACUGACGCUGAGACACGAAAGCGUGGGGAGCAAACGGGAUUAGAUACCCCGGUAGUCCACGCUGUAAACGGUGCGCACUAGGUGUGAGGGGUAUCGACCCCCCUUGCGCCGCAGCAAACGCAUUAAGUGCGCCGCCUGGGGAGUACGGCCGCAAGGUUGAAACUCAAAGGAAUUGACGGGGGCCCGCACA
rnacentral:rRNA from 1 species